AUGGAUCUGGUGACGGGUGCCAUGGGCAGCCUGCUGGUCAAGCUGGGGGAGCUCCUCAGGGAGGAAUACCAUCUGCAGAGGAGCGCCAGGAACAAGGUGGAGUUCCUCUCGACAGAGCUAGAGAGCAUGCGAGCCGCCCUCCUCAACAUCGCGGCUGUGCCCCGUAAGGACCUCAACGUCCAGGUCAAGCUCUGGGCCAGCAAGGUCAGGGAUCUCUCCUAUGACACGGAGGACAUCAUCGACAGCUUCUUCGUGCGUGUCGUCGAGGGCGGUCAUGUGCCCCCAGCCUCAAACCGCUUCCGUUCAUUCAUGAAGAAAAUGUCCAAGUGGUUCGAGAGAGUCAAGACUAGCAGGGAGAUCGCUCAAGCCCUCGAGGAGGUCAAGGUGCAGGUCUUGGAGGUGGCCGACCGGCGCGACAGGUACGCACUCGACAGGCUCGGUGUUGACAACGCGUUUGUGGCUGCUGCAGCCACCGCUGUCAACCCUCUCUUGCCGGCUCUAUAUACAAAGGUGACUGACCUCGUCGGCAUUGGUGGGCCGAGCCAGGAUCUGAUCAAGGAGUUGAAGGACGUGACCAAGGAACUAAAGAUAGUGUCCAUUGUCGGGUUCGGAGGGCUAGGCAAGACCACUCUUGCCAAAGCUGUGUAUAACGGCUUAGAAGCACAAUACGAAUGCACAGCAUUCGUGUCCCUCUCACAGAGACCACAACUGAAGAGGGUCCUCAAAGACAUGCUACAUCAGCUCGACGACAAGGAGUUCGCCACCAUCAAUGAAGCAUCACGAGAUGAAAUACAACUCGUCGAUCAACUGUCCAAAUUCCUUGAGACCAAGAGGUACCUCAUUGUUAUUGAUGACAUAUGGGAUGCAAUGUCAUGGGAGAAUGUCAAACAUGCUUUCCCUAAUAAUGGUUGUGCAAGCAGAAUAAUCACAACAACUCGUGAGUCUGGUGUUGCUACACACAUCAGUCGCAACUGUUAUGAAUUACCUCCUCUUAGCCCAGAGAAAUCCAAAUCAUUAUUCUAUAGGAGACUAUUUGGCAUCGAAGAGAAAUGUCCUGCACAAUUGGCCAAAGUAUCCAUGAAGAUCCUGAAUAAAUGUGGGGGUCUACCAUUAGUUAUCAUCACUAUGGCUAGUCUAUUGUCUACUAAACAAGAAAAUCCAACACAAUGGGAUGGUGUGUGUAACUCUAUUGGUCGUGGAUUAAUCCGCGGCGAUCCUAAUAUAGAAAACAUGAAGGAAAUAUUGGCCCUAAGUUACUAUAACCUACCUUCACAUUUGCAAACAUGCCUGUUGUACCUAAGUAUAUAUCCAGAAGACUAUGAGAUUCCGAAGGGUGAUUUAAUAUGGAAAUGGAUUGCCGAAGGUUUCAUCACACAAGAAAACAACAUGGUUUCAUUAUUUGAGGUUGGGGACGGUUAUCUCAGAGGGCUCAUAAAUAGUGGUAUGGUACUGGCAUGCAUGGACUAUAAAAGACAAGCAACACAUUGUCGUUUGCAUGACAUUGUACUUGAAGUCCUCUGUUCCCUGUCACAAGAAGAAAACUUUGUUACAGUGCCAAAUCAUGCCGAUGGCAUAGAUCGGCGAAGUAAGGUCCGGAGGCUAUCCAUCCAGAAUAGAGAGGAAGGUACUGAAACUACACCACUUGCUUCCCUGCUGCAACCACAAGUGAGGUCCAUUACUACCUUUCCGCCUGCUAUUAACUUAGUACCGGCUCUUUCGAGCUUUGGAAUUUUGCGUGUAUUGGAUCUAAGUGGAUGCUUCAUUGGUGAAGGUAGCCACAUUAACCUUAAUGAUGUGGGGAAUUUAUUUCACCUGAGGUACCUUGGUCUUGCUGGUACACAAAUCUGUGAACUGCCGGCAAAAAUUGGUAGGCUGCAGUUUUUGCAAGUCCUGGAUGUAAGAUACAAUCCCAAACUUACAGAACUACCAUUGAGUGUUUAUGAGUUGAAAAGAUUAAUGUGCCUACAUGUUGAUGGUUACUGCACGAGGCUCCCAGAUGGGUUGGGGAAUCUGACAUCCAUCCAAGUAUUGAAGAAGAUUUGUGCCACUCUAAACAUUGUGAAAGAGUUGCGCAACCUGUCAAAGCUAAGGGAGCUCAAAAUCAAGUUUGAGGAUAAUGCAAGCCUGGAGUUAAGGAAAGCUUUUGUUGAGUCUUUAUCCCACCUUCAAGACCUCCAAAGUUUAGUUAUUCGUGGAUCUUUUCCAUCCAUGGAUCUCUUUGGGGAAGAUUGGGUGCCCCCUCAACGACUCCGCGAAUUUGAGUCGGUCAUGUGCGGUAUUUUCCCUGCGGUGCCGGCAUGGAUAAAGGUCAACCCAGUUAUUGUCUCGGUCCUCUCUGAUCUGACCAUGGGCUUCAAGGAACUACAGGAGGAGGACAUGCUUAUCCUUGGGAUGUUGCCGGCUCUCCAUCGCCUCUGGUUAUUCAGUUCCCAACAAACACAGGCAGUGUUGCCUAUUGGUGCUGACGGGUACCGUUGUCUAAGAACAUUCACACUAUAUUGUAUAACACCAAAGCAGAUAGCAUUUCAACGAGGAGCUCUUCCGAAGGUUGAGGCGGUUCUCUUCAACUUCAGUGUUCGGAUGGCAAGAGCCAAUGGCAAUGAUGGUUUCAACUUCGGUCUGAUGAACCUCGCCUCACUUAAGCAGAUCACUGUCGGAAUCGAUCGUGAUGGUGCAACGAUUGAAGAUGUGAAUGAGGCAGCAGCCACAUUGAGGCGUGAAGUCAGCACUCAUGACAAUCAUCCCGGCAUUACUGUUGAUAUCAGGCCACCAAUAAAACCAUGCGAGCUUGAGAAAACAGAUAUUACAUUCGAUGAACUGAUUGGGGAGCCAAGGAAACUCUCGGGGAAGUUUCAGAAAUUUCGUGCACAACCUUGUUCAGGUCCAAAUUCUGCCUGCUGA
rnacentral:rRNA from 1 species